rnacentral:ncRNA from 2 species
AUAUUACAUCUGGGGUGCCUGCUUGGCUGAGAUAUACCCAUUGAACCUGCUCUGGUUAGUACCAGCGAAGGGAGAUAACCUUUUAUUUAA